UCUAAACAUGUUCUUCUGUGAACAUUUUUCAAUGAAAUUCAAGUUAUUGGAAGAAUUCACGCAAGUAUAUGCUAAUAAAUGUUCACAAAAAAAACUCGUAAACAUAAUAUUUCCAUCUUUGCUAUCAACUUCAAGUAAUUUCCAUAAACAGAAAUCCGAAAGAAAACAAAUCUGGAGCAGUAUUCUGCUAAUAGGUUGCAGAACGUCUGCAAACGGUGUCUUCAUAGGGUAUUUCUGUAGACACUGUUUAAUGGAAUUCGAUUUUCUGCGAGAACUCAUGCACCAUAUUCAUAUACAAGUAUGUUCAUGGAAAAAAUAAUCA